CGCACUGCCCCUAGUCCCAGCCGAGCAGCUCCGGCUGGGCGCGCCCGCACUGCCUCCCAGCUGUGGCCAGAUGCCACCGCCUCUGCCUUCUUUUGCUGAGGUUAAGAAGCAAAGUUACAACCCUCGAUCAGGAUCUGGACUGCAAUCACCAUCAGCUGGCAACACCGCUUCUUUUCCAAAUAGCUACGACGACAAAGCCCUGUGGGAAACGCUUAUCACAGCUGACCAUACAACGCUGUCACCAGUGCCACUGCCACAGGAAGACACUUCCCACAACGAAUUUUCCUGCGUCACGCCUACUCCGGUAAUCCUCGAUGGCCUGGGCUGGGGAGGUAGCUGGCCUGUUGGACUCCAAAUUCUUCAAUCUGACAUCCGCUUGAAGCCCUGAAUAAACUGCCCUCACCUAUGCAUCUUUUCUGACUUGCACUCUACGAAUCACUCCUCCUUCCCCCACAUGACUGCAGCUGGAGCUGUCAUGAGAACAGAAGGGCAUGAAGGACAACUAACUGGCCCCUGGCUGCAGUGAACGAGCGACUCAAGCUGAACCAAUCAAAGUCCUUUUGCAGGAACAUGGAAUUGAGGGACACACUGGUCAUCGUCUGAGUGACUGGACUACAGAUGAGGAGUAAACUCGGCAACUGUGGUUAGUAAUAUUUUCAGCAAUAGAAGGGGGUGCUGAUCUUCAGAGAAACAGACAUAAAGACAGGUGCAAAAGCAAAACAGAAAGGAGCCCUGAUUGCACUAUUUCCUUAUUCUAGUUUUUUUUUUUUCAUUACUGCCCUUGGACAUUGCAUUAAGUAACUAACUUACGUGCACCAAAGAUAUCCACAAUCUAAGCCCAGAACCUGUAAAUGGUACCUGUAAUAGAUGGAAUUGUAGGUAUGAUUAAGGACCAUGAGAUGGGGAGAUUAUUCUAGAUCAUCCUAUGGGCCCAGUAUAAUCACACAGAUCCUUAAAAUCAGAGAAAUUUUUUCAGCUGUGCCUGAGGAAGAUAUGACUAUGGAAAAAUAGUCAGGAACAUGCAACUUCACUGGCUUUGGAGAUGGAGAAAAGGAGUCAAAAACCAAAGAACGCAGGCAUCCUGAAGAAACUGGAAAAGGUCAGGAAACACAUUCUCCUAGAGCCUCCAAGGGGAACGCAGCCCCACAGACACUUCAAUUUUCCCUCAAUUUUCCCUGUGCCUAACUUCUAAACCAGAAUACUAUAGGAUAGUACAUUUGUUUUGUUUUAAAACACUAAGUUAAUAGUAACUUGAUACAGCAGCAACAGAAAACUAAUACAAGCUCUUUGAGUAGUGGAUCCAUUUCUGUGAUUUUUUAAUACCUAGCACAGUGCUCAGUGCCUUAGGUGAGUCACAGAUCUAAAUAAAGUCAUGUGCUCCAGGUUGCAAUGAACUGAUUUGUGCCUCCCCAAAAUUCACAUGUUGAAGUGUCAAACUCCAAUGUGGCUGUAUUGGAGCUGUAAGUAAAG